UGUAAUGCGGGGAUAGGUAACUCCUGGUGUAGGGAUAGAAUCCGUUGAUACCUGGAGGAGCGCUAGGGCGAAGGCCCUAUCCUGAGUAACCACUGACGCUGAGAUACGAUAGUGUGGGGAGCGAAGAGGAUUAGAUACCCUCCUAGUCCACACCUUAAACGAUGGAGGCUAUAGGAAGGGAACGGGGGGUCUCACCCUAGUAGCGAAGGCAUUAAGCUUCCCGCCUGGGGAGUAAGAAGGCAACUUUGAAACCCAAACGUCUAGACGGCCCUGAAGACCAGCAGUGAAGCAUGUUGUUUAAUACGAUACCCCGCGUACUACCUCACCUCUCCUUGAAUGGUGCAUUGUCAUCACAGGUGCUGCAUGGCUGUCUUUAGUUCGUGUUGUGAAAUUUGAGGUUUAGUCCGCUAACGAACGAAACCCCGCCUGAUAAUUCAAAUCACGAGAACACGAGCUGCCUAUUACCUUGGUUUACUAAAUCUACGAUUCAUUCGGAAAAAAGGGGGAAACCAUCUUAACUUAAUCCCCUGAGAUUUCACACGGGUGUCGGUGUUAAGGAGGCUUGUUACGAGACGCUCAACCAUAUGAUAAUCCAAACUAAAAAGGGUAUUUACAUACGAGCAGGUUCGUUGGAAAGCUUCAGGGGGCCUUAUUGACAAAACCCUGCCAAUUACGUGCUAAUUAGUUAGUUUUCCUCAUGCUGCUACCAACUACCAGCUACCAACCAUACCAAGCAAAGUAUGCCGUGUAUCCCGAGUGCCGCUUUAGUUCAGCUAUCUAAUUAUGCUAGCUAGCACCAGAAGGGAACAUAGUGACUUCAGGGAUAAUAACUUGCUAUGGGUUAUAAGAUAGCUACGUAAGCAUAAGCAUAGGGAAGGAAAGAUGAAAGAGGUAGGUCACCCAUUAAGCUAAGGUAACAGGUUGAUCCGUGUAUUAUCAGGGUAUGAUGCAAUGAGCGUCGGUAAUAGGGACAACGACAAGCCCUCAUGGCCCUUAUGGAGUGGGCAAUAGUAACGUGCCACAAAUACUCAUUCAAUGGGAGGCAAUGGUGUGAGCCGGAGCUAACCCUUAACCCAAGUAAGUGUACGAACUGUGCUCUGUAACUCGAGCACACGAAGCAGGAAUUGCUAGUAAUCGUGAAUCAGCACGCCACGGUGAAACUUCUCUUCGAGGAGCACUGACUGUCCAUCAGGCGGGGAAAGUUGGUUCUAUCCGAAGACGGUUUAAACUUACUAGCUAUUUGAGCUAUGUUUUUAUAGUUGGUAAUCAUUUAAAUUGUUUAGGUGGCAUCGGCGAUUCCUGUUAAGUUGUAGCAAGGUCACGGUUCGUGAACGAGUCGUGGAACGUAUCAAACG
rnacentral:rRNA from 1 species